rnacentral:rRNA from 1 species
GGGCCCUCGAAAUCCUCCGGCGGGGGGAUUCAGUCGGGGAGGCCGAGGCGGCGUGCGAUUGAAAAGACGGACCCUCUCCGGGGACGGAUCGCCGCCGCGGUCUCGGCUCGACCCGACGCAUUUCCUCCCGCGCGAGGACGCCGCAUCCGGUUGGGUAGCUGCGCGAGUCGGCCAUGGGGGCGGGCGCCGGAAGUUGGCCGGUGGCGUUGCUUCCGCUUCGCCGCCGGUUGUUAGCCGGCCCGCCCGUGGCGCGACACCCGACCGAGGUUGAAUCGUUCCCGUACGGGAACCCGCCGUCCCCUCCCGCUCCGGGAGCGGCGGCUUCGGAAGGUGCUUCGCGGAGUCGCCUCCCCACUCCUCCGAGUGCGUGGCGCUCCGCGUACCCUGUUGGCCGAAGCCCGCCGCGGGGGUNGCACGCGGCUGGCGGCGAGUGAGUCGGUCACCCACACGACCCGUCUUGAAACACGGACCAAGGAGUCUGACAUGUGCGCGAGUCACGGGGUCUUGAACAGGCCCAGAGGCGCAAUGAAAGUGAAGGACGGCCCCGCGCCGUCCGUGCCGGGACCCCCCGCCCGCCGCGGCGGGGGAGCACCGGCGAUCCGUCCUGUCCGAUUCAUCGGUUGGCUGGAAUCUGAGCGCACACGUCGGGACCCGAAAGAUGGUGAACUAUGCCUGGGCAGGACGAAGCCAGAGGAAACUCUGGUGGAGGUCCGUAGCGGUCUGACGUGCAAAUCGAUCNUC